rnacentral:hammerhead_ribozyme from 1 species
AUCCAUCUAACGAGUCCGAAAUGGGACGAAACGCGCAUCCUGUAU